CUGGAGCCCCUGGCUGGCUGUGUGAUUCUGCCCAGUCCCCCGCUCCCUGUCCGGGCCCUCUGUUCUCUCCUUACGGUGGGGAGAGGUCUGAAUGAGGCCCCAGCUCACGCACUCCAUUAUCUUGAGGCUGCUCCCACCCCCAGGCCCGAGGGAGACAGAGGCCUUUUGAGCUGGGGCUGGCAGGCGAGGCUGGAGUCCCAGGGCUACCAGAGCGUUGCGGAGGGAAUGCUUUGAAGAGGCCCCGCCCUUCCUGGGGCUGCGGCUCAGCUCCGGCCUCCCUCACCCGGCAGGGAUUCCCGUUCUAGGGAACAUGUGGUCUUUGGCAGCGGCUGGGGCCAAAGCCCGGGCAAGACCAACGCCUUCGGCACCCGGACUCAGGCUCCGUCCUCUCUGCCAGCGUGCGGCUACAAUGACUCGACAUGG
rnacentral:lncRNA from 1 species